rnacentral:lncRNA from 1 species
GUGCGGCAAGGCCUAAAUCUCUAUUUAUGGCUGCAGACAAUAAAGCUAACGCCAAGGCAAAUGCCGUCACAAAGGAAAAAUCUAGGACAAGGCAGAAGCCAUAGCUAAGGGCUUGCAGAAUACGUAUAAUUUAUGUCUACUCCGUGGUGCCGAUUCACAAACGACCUCUCAGCUGGCAGUUACCUUCGCCGGCUUUUGCCUUCCACCUGCUUAGUGAGAAAACAGCCGUCGAUGACAGGAGCCCAGGAUAAAUCUGUCAGUGAGACUUACAGGACAAAAUCUCCUGAGAAAGGCUUCAGGAAUCCAGCAAAUAAAUCUCUGUGUCCCAAACAGUAGCAAGGUCACCCAAGUUUAUAACGUCUCCUUUUAACCCCUCUGGAAUGGGCCUUAUUGACUAUAAUUAUCACCAACCUCAGAUGACACUGAAGUGGCGUAUCUUUUGCUACCAUGAGGACUGCCCCACGCAGAAGUGCUUCUGAGAUAACAGCCUCAAGAGCAGCAGGUUUUGGACAAGGGUCAUGAUUAUCUUUUAUCUGACAGCACAGCAUUCCUCAUCACCUGCUGCAAGAACCAUUGUAUCUGGAGAUCUCCAAGCCCAGAGUGGUCUCCCACUCCUCACUUCUUCUAGCAUUCAAGGUCUGUGCCACACAUUUGCCCCAACAAUCCUACCCCAACUGGUCUCAUUAGCCAGCUGCUUCAUAAGUGUGGAUAGUGUCUCCCCAAGAAGUCUGUAGCCUAUUUGUGGAUAGUAAAUGUGCCUUUUAUCUUUUUUCUCCUCCACAGCACCAAGCAGAGUACAGAACACACAGUAGGCUCCGUAAGUACUUGCUCAAUUGAAUCCAUUUCAUUUUCUUAGUUGUUCUGCUCUAUGUUACUGGAAAAGUAAGACCUUUAUUUGCUGAUGAAGACAACAUGGCAAUAAAAGAGCGAAGAGAUGUGAUAUUUUUCCUCCAGAGGCCAAUUUUCUUACUUCUGGAUGCAGGGACUUUGUCAUCAAGAAUAUGUCAAGACUUUCCACGGCCUUAUUUUAUACUACUUUGGGCCUCUCAUCAGCACUCACAAACUCCAAAUAUGUACAACCCAUAUAUUUUCGAAAUACUUUCCAAUGUAUGCUUCCUUAUGCCUCAUACCCCUUCUCCAUUUUAGCUUCAUUGAAAUAAAGAAGACAGGGACCAUUUUUGAGAAAAAGGAGAAGAUGGCAAGGAAAAACUCUCUCUUUCCCCUAGGAGCUCUGAAGAAGAAAGGGCUUGGAGAGAGGAAGACCCAGCUGAGAUCCCUCUGAAACUGUGAUAUACGACAUCACUGCCUCAGGACCUGUCCAACUGUCAGACAGCAGGAAGCUGCCCCACUCGUGAACAUCUAUUCGACUCUCCAAGUCCGGGGAGUCUACCUGGCACACAGGAGGCGUGACUCACAUGUGGCUAUGGCAGAUCUCCUCCCUCCUCCCAAGGCUUACCAGGCAACCUUGGCCUAAAGCACAGAAUGUUCUCGGUAAACAUAAAGGACCCUAAAAAUAUUAACAGUGAUUGUUAUUGUUGUUAUUAAAUCUACAGUUUGGAGCAGUAACCACAAAAUUGGUGACUUCCACAAGUCCAAUUAUGACCACUACAAAGUGGACAAAAUAAAACUUUUCUCCUAGGAAUCUUAAUCUGUUUC